GGUAUUAGACCCCACUAUCGCCAGACCAUGUCCAAAUGUUAAAAAAGGCGAUAAGUUGGGUCCAAGCUACUCGGACUAGUACGAUUUAGCGUUUUCGUGCCGUCAUUUCCACUUCGAGAAAACAUCAUUUAUAAAGUAAAAUGCAGUUUUGUGACGCAUAGCCUACUUGGUCAAUCUAUCAAUAAAUGAGUUAUCUAGGUUCGCGUUGAUAUGGACAAAAGGUUUGGGUCGACAUGCUUUCGUGAGAUUUUAGCCAAUAUUGAGGGUGAAUAAAACAGGAAUUCGUCAAGUCGCAACGUACGAAGUGUACAUGUGUCAUGGCGUGACGAGUGGGGACCUUCGUGGCCAUGUUUUGGCAUGAUUUCGGAGAUUCAGACGGAAAUCUCAAAGACCUAUUGGUUGUCUCUCGGACGCUGUGGAGGAGGUUUGCCUACAGUUCUUCUUAUGCGGAGUGUACGGCAUUCCACCAUGACACGCAGAUGACGUACCCUGCCCUGACGAAGGAUACCUUCAGAAAAUUUGACAAUUUUCAUCGGUUUUGAAGAGUUUCUUCCUAUUUGUGGAUUGAAGAUGGCAACGACAUGCAUGGCCGCGUAUAAUGGACAAGCUUUGGAUUCCUCCGCAUCUGAUCUGUACUACCCACCCAUUGCGAUUGAACUCCGUAUCAGUUCCUGACCAUGCCAUGACAUGGCCAUGUUCAUUCAAACAGCCCAACCCCCACUCUGAACCUUUCUAAAUAGUCCAUGGUGUGGAGUACAUGUACAAAUACUUUUAGUGUGAUCUGAAUUGGGAGUGGUAGGUGUAGUCUGUUCGCUGCCUCCCUGUCCCAUAUGCUUGAAUAACAUAGUUGACGUAAACAUUUCAUAAUGAAUAUCUUACUGCCGGGGGGGGGGGGGGGGGGGGGGGUUGAGAGAAUUGAGAUAGUUUGGGAAUUUAGGAGAUAACUGGAGGUAAUCUUUGAUCAGGACAGUUUCUGUUUUGUCCUUAUUGCCAUUUCAGAUGGUAUAUAUCUUGUCAAUGUCACCACAAACUGACACUUGCGCACACUUGAGUAUUUACAGAUUCGGGAUAUUUUGGGUUUCACAAACUGACAUCCCCCACAGUGCAACACUUUUAGAGCGCACCCAUGCAUUUUCGGUUUCACGAACUGACACUGAUCUUAAUUUUACCAAUUAAAUCGCUUUUUAAUGAAAAAUGUGUACAUGUAUAAUCGCACAAGUACACGGAUAUUGCCGCAUCAUGCUUGGGUGUCAGUUCGUGAAAACAAAAAUGUACGGGGUCACUCUAAAAGUGCCGCACUGUGGCGGAUAUCAGUUCGUAAAACCCAAAAUAUCCCGGUUCUGUAAACACGCGCGCGUACAGCGCACACACGGGUGCGAGAGUGUCGUUCGUAGUGACGAUGACAAUCUGUACCUGAUUUCAUGAAACUUAUUGUAACCUACGAUGCAUCGUUGUAUCCCUAGGAUGACGCAUCCUGUGAUUCAUUUUACAAAAUAUGCUGUAAGUGCGACACGUCGUAGUGUAUUCAAAGGACAAAAGGUGACUACAUGUAGAUGUUCAUGUAUUUUCAUGUUAUGUAUUUAUUCAAAGAACAGUAGUCGUCGAAAAGUCAACAAAGAGUCGUCGAUUGUACUUGUGAAAACUUUUCUAAAAUAUUUAACAAAAUUGACGAUGUAUGAUGCAUUCACACUGGAAAAGAACUUCACAGUGGACUGUGUUUGCAUCAAAUUGUGAAGCGAUGUAGUGCUUUGUAAAUCUGAGGGGGGGGGGGGGCAGGUCAUCCAGGUAUGUGUACACGUACGUAUGUGAAAUUUUAAUUAAGCGAAAAUUUGAAACCUGAAAUUGCCAUCACCACCACUUAUGAAAUAGUGCAGUUGAACUGCAAGCUCCUUUCUCCAACAAAGUAUUAAUAAUAAAUAAAUAUAAAAAAAACCUUUACUGUCUUCAGGUGUGAGGGUAUGCUUAAAUCCAUUUGCCCUUUCAUAAAGUUGAAUUUUUGAAUCACUUUCUCUUAAUCAACUGCAACUACCCUACUUAAUUUUUCAGACUUUUCAUAGUUUUAUAAAUUGCCACACCUGAUUUCACUAGUUGAGUUCAUGCCUGCAUUACAUGUGCACUUUAUUUACUUGUAAAAUAUGGCUGUUGUGAAGUUUCACUUCUGUAAAUGAAACUUUUUUUU